AUUCACAAUGCUUAGGUGAUACUUUUACGCUGAUAUCUGCGAGCUAUAUUCCACACAUGGUACUUAUAAGUGGCGCAGUAUUUAAAGUGCAAGAAAUAACUUUAAAAAUGUAUGUUGACAAUUAAAACCUUUUCACUAUUAAAGGAACACUAUGGUCACCAAAACAACUUUAGCUUAAUGAAGCAGGUUUAGUGUAUAGAUCAGG